rnacentral:rRNA from 1 species
UACGGAGGGUGCAAGCGUUAUCCGGAUUCACUGGGUUUAAAGGGUGCGCAGGAGGGCAGGUAAGUCAGUGGUGAAAUCUCCAAGCUUAACUUGGAAACUGCCGUUGAUACUAUCUGUCUUGAAUACCGUGGAGGUGAGCGGAAUAUGUCAUGUAGCGGUGAAAUGCUUAGAUAUGACAUAGAACACCAAUUGCGAAGGCAGCUCGCUACACGAAUAUUGACUCUGAGGCACGAAAGCGUGGGGAUCAAACAGG